AUAUUGGAAUCCACUCUCCCGUCCUGAUCUUCUUCACUCACAUCCCAGACAAUCUUGAUGUGGCGAACUCACUUAAAAGAUUAGCAUCUCGGUCUUCUUGGACGAUCAUAAGGUGAUUUCAAACCAUUUUUUUACUGAAUAUGUACAUUUUUUUAAAAGCCCCAACUUAAAUUGAUUGUGUAUGUACAUUUUUUUAAAAGCAAAACUUUAAUAACAAAGGAUUUGUGUUUUUUGUUUUUUGUUUUUUUUUCUUGCCUUCAAAUUGUUUGAUAAAAUGUCUGGAAAGAAAACUGUUUCCUCUGCUGGUUCUGUUACUAAAUUGGAAAUGAAUAGCAUGUAAUUUAUAGUGCAGGGUCUGGAUUAAAACCUCUUAAUCUUGCUACCUUAACAACUCAUUUCUGGCUAACGCGUGGUAUACUGCUCUGUUGGUUUUUUAAAAAAGUCUAAGGAAUUCAAAUUAUGAUCAGGAUUAAGUUUUUUAUUUAUCUGUUUUUAUGAUGAAGUUUUUAGUAUCGCUACUUUGAGCUUUGGUAUUUUUGUAGUUGACAGCUACUUAUCAUUUCUUUUGACAGGAGCACUAUGUCAUUGAUAUGCUUUGGGCGGUUCUCAAGAAUUUUUCCAUGGAAAAUCAGAUGAAAUUUUUGAAGCAUGGAAGGAAAGGAACAAGAAGCUCUACAAGAACACAUUCCGGGAUGCUAAGACAAUCAUAGAAGAAAUAGUGACAACCAUUACAUCUCGCCUUUGCCUAGCAAAAGGAAUCAAGCACACUCACAAACUAACAAGUGGAUUCAGCAAGAAUGGAACCUACCAGACUCCACAUUCUGUAAUCUUUUGUAAUUCACUACUCUUUGAGAUCAUGUCUUGUCCUAGAAUAAGAUGCCUUAUGGUUUUCAACCUCGGCUUUGUUAUUCAUUUCUUGUGGAACUUAUUGAUCAAAGAUAGACCUAUCUUAUCCAAUGUGCUUGGAUUUUAUUCUCAUUACUAGUGAAAUUUGUUAAUUAUUGUUCCUUAA